rnacentral:tRNA from 1 species
GCGCGGUGGUGCAGUGGGUUAGCACUGUUGCCUCAGAGAAGGUCCUGGGUUUGAAUCCCGGCCUGGGCC